AACAUGUGCUUAACAACAUGUUUGUAUGUUGCUGUUAUCACCUUGGUCAAAUUAGAGUGUCUGAGUUCAUUCCUCCAAUCAGGAUGGAGAGGGGGUGGGACUUGGAAGAGAGCAAGGAAGGUUGAACAUCAGUCAAGAGAUAGACGCGAGAGAAGCAGGAUAUCGUCUAGAUAGCCAAGGAUUUUAGGCCAUAAAAUCUGAAACGUUUCUAACGAUUAUCCUAAAGUAAACAUAAAAAACAGUGUUUUAGACAAUAAAACCUACCAGUUUCUUUAGUGCAGUCAGCAUUUCGUCAACAUAGAGGUAUUACUCGUGCAUUUAUAGAGUGAAUGAGAGAAGAGUAUGAUGCAAUAUUUAGAUUGGACAAACUCAGGAUUUUAAGCCAUAAAAUCUAUUCUUGUUUCUAUCGAUAUUCGUGCAUUCAAUUGUCUAGAGAUACUACUCGUGCUCCUAGAGAGAAAACUAAAUGGAUGGAGGACGUCACCAGAUAGCCCUGUGAGUACUGUGAGAUCAACAGGUCCUCUAGCUACGUUGGAUGACCAUUUGACGCAUCACCAGACAGCCCUAUCUCAUGUACCACCACCAUGGUGAGCUCCAUCUGAUAGGAGAAGGAGGAGACGUCAGGAUCCAACAAGAUCUUCUGCUCCACAAACACACUCAGGCCCCAGUUCUCCAUGGCUGCAUAUGGAUGCUUCGGCACUGCCAGGAGAUCUGCACACAGUGAGGAAGAUCCAAGCUCAAUGAUGGGAAACCAAGACAGUGAUACAAUGCAACAAGAAAGAUGACGGUGGAGUGACGAGCUCAUUCAAGAGGCAAAGAACAAUGAAAGCCGCAAUGCAAAGGUGAAUGACUGAUAGAGCUGCUCUGUUAAAUGACUUCAACUCAUACUGCAAUUACACGACCGAUGCUCUUGAAGAGAGAGACAAAAGCACAAAGGUAAUCAGAGAUGUACUUCAACUCCAUCAGAACUUCCAUGAUCCUCACGAGAACAGUACCAGAACACCCUUGUCUACACACCUCAAGGCCCAGAUCCAGACAUAUAAUUGAUCCUAAACGUCCAAUCAGCACGAGCCGCCAGCCAUCUCACAGGUGAUGAAUGAGGCUCCAGUGCAGCUCUGACUAAACCAGUGACAGUGUUGCUUUCUCAGAUAAAUGAUUUGAUCUACGGCACAAACUGAGGCUGAAUUAAAGCUCGUAAUAACUGAAGACGAGACACAAGUGAGUGAAACUAAACUUCAAACGCUUUAAGCACCACGCACACACAGACACACACAAAGUAAAACUGCUUACAACAGCAGAAGUCUGGAGUGAUGGUAGAACCACAAGCCCUGACAGCGUGUGACUCUUUGUGUUUAGCGGUGAGGUCAAUAUCAUUAACACACACUCAGCAGGGUGAUUGCUCUUUAGUAUGCAGUCAAUAUAUCUGU